rnacentral:rRNA from 1 species
UACGUAGGUGGCGAGCGUUGUCCGGAUUUACUGGGCGUAAAGGAUGCGUAGGCGGAUAUUUAAGUGAGAUGUGAAAUACCCGAGCUUAACUUGGGUGCUGCAUUUCAAACUGGAUAUCUAGAGUGCGGGAGAGGAGAAUGGAAUUCCUAGUGUAGCGGUGAAAUGCGUAGAGAUUAGGAAGAACACCAGUGGCGAAGGCGAUUCUCUGGACCGUAACUGACGCUGAGGCGCGAAAGCGUGGGUAGCAAACAGG